rnacentral:misc_RNA from 1 species
GAUGAAGAACGUAGCGAAAUGCGAUAAGUAAUGUGAAUUGCAGAAUUCAGUGAAUCAUCGAAUCUUUGAACGCACAUUGCGCCCGCCAGUAUUCUGGCGGGCAUGCCUGUUCGAGCGUCAUUUCAACCAUCAAGCCCCCGGCUUGUGUUGGGGACCUGCGGCUGCCGCAGGCCCUGAAAACCAGUGGCGGGCUCGCUAGUCACUCCGAGCGUAGUAAUACAUCUCGCUCAGGGCGUGCUGCGGGUUCCGGCUGUUAAAAAGCCUUAUUUACCCAAGGUUGACCUCGGAUCAGGUAGGAAGACCCGCUGAACUUAAGCAUAUCAAUAAGCGGAGGA